GCUGUUUCAAAUAUAUCAUGGUCUAGUUAUAGAGAUCGAAGAAAAAAAUUUACUUGACUCCUAAAUUUAAUUUGAUCUUGUUAAGUUAAAUAAAUGAAUAACUGAAACGAUCUGAAUUAUAUAAUUGUCAUAGAUGGCAGCUAAGCUUCAUGUAUUCUAGAAUGUGGGCACUCGUCUUCAAUUGGCUGCAGCAAGUUAUUAUGCAGCAAUGUGCUUUAGUUUUUUCUCUCUUGUUCUUGGUCUUUCUUCGUCCAUAUAAGCUGAUCAGUUAUCAUAUACCAGGAGAGAAGAACGUCGCUCUGAUUUAACAAUGAGGUAUGUUUUGAGUCGGAUAUUUUAUUAUCUUCUGUAGAGCCUUCAAUAAAUCUGCUUUUUUUGCAGGCAUAAUUCAAAGCAAAUCUCCUUGUCCAGAGACAGGCGAGCUUGGUUUUGCUAAUUCACAAACUUUGUGCAACAUAACUUGACAUGCAAAGAGGUAGUCUAAUUUGUUCAUGCAAGGAUUUUGCAAGAUACAACCAUCUCUGGUAUGAUUCCUAAACUGUAAUAUUUUUAUCUGAAAAAGCUAAUUUUAUAUGUUGCUUUUAUUGUUUCUUUAUUAAUUUGUUAUGGUUAUUUGUAGAACAGGUUGGACCCUGAAAAUUCAAAAGGUGUACCUAGUCAGAAGGUAAAGUGUAUUGGGAAUCCCUUCGACAAUUCGCUGGCUUAAAUUGGCCACCUCCACUUAUUUUUAUUUUUUUUUCAUUGCACCUCCUUAACUUCAAUUUUUUGAAAUUACAUGAUUUUAUUUAAUUAAAAUUAUGAAUUUUAUCAAAUUAAUUAUUUAUUUCAUCAAAUUUAAUGGUUUGAUUAAUUUUUAGCGAAUGAAGUAAAUAUUUAACGUUUAAUAUUUUAACGGAAUUAUUAAAUUUUUAAAAAGUAAACUAUCUAGAAUAACUUGAAUAAAAAAAUUAUAAGUUGUGGAGGUGUUUAUUUGUUAUGGCCCAUUGUUCUUUUUUGGUGCGGUUCGACUCAUUAAUUUCGAACGUUAAGCUAUAUAGUACCGUCUUUGCUUUUAAGCUAUUGCCACUUUAUCCAUUCCCAUCAGUUCUCUUCUAGAUCUUAUUAUAAAAUGCAAUAAAAAUUUUCGUUGAUGUCUGGAAAUACUAAAAUUGCCCUUCUUCGAAAGGUAAAGGAAUGGGAUAAAACCAGGGAGUUUCUGUAUUAGUAUUUCAUUCAAAAUUUCAUUUUAUGUUCCAAAAGAUCGCUGAUAAGGAACUAACAUGAGGAGGUAAAGUAAUAACGAUUUAAAACAAUCAAAGGGUAAUGUUUAGGUUUUUAAAGUUCAGCAUGGCGAAGAAAUAACAACUAUUUAGUCAGAAGAGUCUUCUGCAUUUUAAUUCUCCUUUUUUCUAAAAAGAAAUUAAUUAGCUGUAUGUAUUAGACGAGAAUUAAAGUCUGUCUUUUUGUUUUUAUUUGAGACUGAAAUUUCAUCCUCUUUUGAGUGCUGUUGCCUGGAGAUUUCUUAACUGCACCAUAUCACGUGGAGAUCAUUUUUGGCAUGAGAAGAUACAAAGAGGAAACCUCGCAUUUACGACUACGUAGGCACUCAUUUUCACUUGGCCACAGCAAGGUAUAAUGCAGCAAACACUCCUUUUUGCCCUUGGUCCUUAGUCACCUAUUUAAACUGAUCUAUUAUGAUAUGCCGGGAGAGAUCUGAUUAUGUUUAAAAAUGAUGUGUGUUUUGAAAUUUGAAUCAUAUGUUCGUCAACAGUCAGCUAACUGUUUACUCUAAUCAAAAAAUCUUUUCAAUAAAUUGCAUUUUUUGUAAGCAUACUUCAAAUAGAUCUCCUUGUCCAACUUGAAGUAGAAUUCGGACCUAAUUUUUCCUAAUUUAAAAACUUUGUGUACCCUAAUUACGAGAAACCAAAGAACACACUUACAUGCAAAGAGAUAGUGGAACUUGAUCAUGCAAGGAUCUUGCAAUACAAUAGAAAACCCAAGGAUCCCUGGAAACUAGACCCUACGGUACUAACUUCGAAAUGCUCCUAAUCUUCAACUAAACUAGGAUCCAAAUAAAUCCCUUUCCAUUGUAUAGAAUUUUGAUCUCUCUAAUUCUCUCCCUCCAAUGUGAUGAAGGAUCAGAUACCUCUUCGCAUUCCCUCCAUUGAAUCCCUCGAUUUGAGCAAGACUGAUCUGCAUCUUGACCUCUAGUAGCACAAACCGCUGAUCUAUUAAAAAUCGAGUACGUUUGUGAUCUAAAGAAAAGCUGAUCGCUCAUGAUGUCUUUGACUGCGAGUCACUAUAUAUAUAUUGCAAUGCGUUUUCGGAUCCUGGUGAUUCUGCUGUGGUCUGAUUUUGUUCCUGCUUUGUUCAUGUUUCACAUGAACUUUUAUGUUUGAGAUGAAAGAUAGUUCGAGGAAUUUGCCGAGUUUGCAUCUGUGAGAAGAAGGAUUUAGGUUGCUCUCUUAUUCCAACUAACUAACUAUUUUUUUUUAAAAAAAUAAACAAUUUCAUAUAAUGCUGUAAUUUUUUCUUUCUUAGUACUUCUUACAGUUCUUAGCCUGAAUUACUGCAGAGGUAGGCUAAAUUUGGAUAAAUGAACGAGUAAGAGAAAGGGUGUUUUAGCAAUCGCAAAACUAGGUUGAUACUUUUCAUCUGAUUGUUGUCUAUUUGGUGUUGUUGAUUUCAGGAAAGUGCCAAUUAAAAAUCCCGAGGAAAUAGGUAGAGAGGCUUCAUUCUAGUCCGAAUCUAUAUGUAAUUCUGGUGAAAAUUUAUUCUUAUGCUUAACUCCUUGUAGCCAGCAGAGACAAGGAGCGGAUUGUAUGGAUUUCGCCGGUUAGGGUGACCAACAAUCUGGAAAUUCUUGUUUUUAAUGGACUUUACCAUUAUUGGGACUCUAUAAUCUGAUGCUGGUAGAAAAUUUACUAGUUACUUUGUUGUGUUUAAUUACUCUGAAGAUUAUCUGAUUUAUGUGGCUUUUAUGCUCGGUGUAGCGUUGAUGAUACGUAGUAUUACAGGGGAAAGUAACAUAGUGAGUUCUCCGUGCAGGUGACAAAUGUAUUGGAGUUUGAUGGUGCUGUGCAGGUCUAUUGAUGCUGCUUUCAACUGUCUCAGAUGUUUAGUGAAUAUGUUUCUUCAGGCAAAUAGAAGAAUUCUCUUUCCAGGUGCGCUGUGCAAAUUAUUUGAGUUUAUAGUGCGCCUCGUUAGUUCUAUUGAAAGCUGCUUUCAACAUUCUUAGAAAAUUCAUUUUUUGGUAAGAAACUUAAUAAAAAAAAAGAGUAUGAAUUCAGAAUCCAUAACUUUCUUUUACAUUUGAAUGUUAGGAUCAAAAUGUAAUAUUAUAACUUAUCUGAUAUCAGUCGAUAUUUGCAUUCUUGCUGUUAGUUUGGAAACUCUUCAGGAUUCCAAUUGUUGGGGACUAAACUUCAAUUGAGUUGUCUAGCUGGUUUAGUCUUUUAGUUUUGUAUUGUCGCUUGUUGAUGUGAUGGAUUUGUUCAAGAAUCAAAAUAUCUUGUUGGAUUUCGUGCAAAACUGUUGGGUUGUUUUGUCUUAUGUGAAUUGUUUGAUGAUUCUUUUUGCUUUUCUGUUUUUCUUUUCUUACUUUAGUUUAUAGCUGGAACUUCUUAUUUGGCUUCCAUAGAGAAUAUUUUAUUGUUGCAAUGAAGGUUCUAUUUCACGCUCGAGUGGUUGCCACAUUGCAUUGAAUUUUUAUUUGGAAAAUGCUAAUUAAAUGAGGUAGCAGUCCUACCACUUUUCUCAAAAAAAAGGGAAAGGAAAGAAAAUGUAUUUGAAAAUUGCAAUCCCAGUCCAAAUACUUCAGCGAUGAUAGCAAAAACUGGUCCUGUUUGUCCAAUUUAAACUACACUUCAUUUUGUGUGAAGCAUAUGGUGUGGAAUCAAUGAAGAUUGGAAAGGAGGUCGAGCAAGUCUAAUACAUAAACAGUAAAUUUGUUGAAGAUACGAUUAAAUUUUCUCUCUCUUUGGCUUUCUCCAGAACAAAUUAUCUGAUAGAUUUCAUGUAUUCUUCUUGCUAUCAUUGAUCCCUCUUAUGGUUUUUCUGGCAAGGUGGCGAUGCAUUUUUUUCUGCUUUUAACAAUCCAUGCUUACUUCAUCUUUUAUUCUAGCACUCGUAUGGCUGAGCUUUGCUUUAAAUAUUUUGAUAUUUGAAACAACUUGGCUAAUUGGUAUCUCUGUCUUUCAAGUUUCAACUUACUAUUAAAUUUGCUUCAGUAUUCAGCAUCAUAUAUUUUACUUGAUGACAAUGAAACAGUCUGUUGUAAUAUAUGUUGAUUUUGUUAUCCUCUAUUACUUUAAUGUAGUGCGUGUAUAACACAAUAGUUGUCUGAUUUAAACUUCUUCACUUUCAGUCAUUUCAUGUCAUUUCUUCUUAACUGCAAGCGUGCAUAAGAACUUAAUGCUACUUGCUGGAUAGAUACCUGAAAUUUGUGAGAAAAUCAUUGUAAGCUUCUUGCGAAUUUGACUAGGUUUACAAAGGAUUUUAUCCAUUCUGUUGUUAGGAGCGUGGCUAGGUUUACAGAGUAUUUUUAUGUGAAUUUCAAUCUGGUGAUUCUUUUCUUCUGUCUUUUUUUUGUUUUUCUCUCUCAACUUUAUUUAAUAAUUUGUUUUUAGUAGACUUUUGUAUUUUUGAUUGUCAUGUAAGGUAGCCAGGGAUGGUUCUUAAAGAGAGAUUAAAAAAGGGUAAUUUCUUUGAUUUGUUACAUGAUAUCAGAAUCUGAGUGAUUGGUAAGUAUCUUCGGUAUGAUAGGAACAAAUUUCUCUUGCAGGUGCUUUAUCGAAAGUGCGCUGCUUCAAUCUCGUCAGAUAAGACAAAGUAUGCCUCUAUAACUUUUCCUGUGCAUAUAUUCCUUUACAAACCGAAUUCAUAAAUUAAUACGUAACUGCGAUAUUUUCUUUGUAUAUCAGCCAAAAUUUUCAGUAUCUGGGUUAUAGUUGAAAAAGAAGCUUGGAUUGCAUGAGCAAGUUAUAGCCUUUUGUUUAGAAGCCCCCACAUAAACUGUUAACGAGUAAGUAGUUGGAGUUCAGUUUUGUAAUGAAUAUUUAGCAACAAAGUAUUUGUUUCCUUCUAAAUUUUUUUUAAAAUUUUUUUUUAAAAAAAACUAUACUCCAGGCACGAGACGAAUUCUGGAGUGGUAAGUUUAAACUGAGAGGAUAAUAUCUUUGGAGCAGUCAUAAAAUGGCUCAACGAUGAUUUAUUUGUCAAGCAUGACAAGUAGUUCCGACUAGAGCCUCGAUUACGACUACCCAAUAUUUCUUGCUUUUGCAAAUGAAGAGCACCACUCUACCUUGAUGUUAGUGGCAUAAUGUGACUUUCUAAGUUGGUAAUCAUGCUUUCAAGUUAAUGCUUUGUAGAGUGAGUGAGAAUUGAAGCUUUUAUAAAAACAAAGAAUCUGUCAUUCAUUAAAUGUAUAGAGGUACGCAGUGCAAAUCCAUGACCUUGUGCCUGAUUUCUUGUUUUUUUUUUAUGGAAGUUCCUUUUUUUUUCUUGCGCCUGAUUUCUUGUUUUUUUUAGGGAAAUUCCUUUUUUUUUCUUGAAACAGGCAAAAUUCAAAACAAAUCUUGUCCAGUUUGAAAUGAAGUUUGAGCCUGUUUUUACUAAUUUAUGAAACUUGUGCACAACAAGUCAUUAAAAAACUAAUUUUCUUUUUCUUUUUCUUCUUUUUUUUUGAAAGGUUUGAUUAACUGUUUUAUCUAAAAGUGGGCAUAAUCCAAAACAAAUCUUCUUGUCCAGUUGAAACGGAAUUCAGACCUGUUUUUGCAAGCAUUCAAAGAAAGAACUUUUGCAUUCAAGGGGAAAGUUGAACUUUUUCAUGCAAAGAUCUCUCGUAUGAUUCCUUAACUGUGUAUAUUUUUCUUCUUAAACUGUAUUAUGUCACUAAGCUGUAAUGUUACUAGCUUAAAAAAAAAAAAAAAAAAUAGAGCUUCAUAUGUUGCAUUUAUUCUCUCUUUACAUAAUUGGUCAUUUGAUGGUAACAGGUCGGACUCCGAUUGCGCUAUAACAUAACGGAAGGCUUUUAGAUUUGGUCGUAGAGCCAGCUCUCAAACUCAUGGAGCAAGUUAGGGGUGUGAAACUGCUAAACAGAGUAACCGAAUCAAACCAAUGGUUAGGUCUGGUUUAGAUUUUCUUUAUCAUUUUGAAGAAAAAAAAAACUGGUUGGGUUUUGGGUCAAUAUGGUAGGAACUAGGAACUGCAUUAUUUUGAUUCAUUAUUUUGAUUAACUUUCAGUUCUGAUCAUGAGAAACGGCUUAAAACAAACCAGCCGGUUAUAGUAUGUCAUUUUUUUAAACCAAACCGGCCUUAGUCCCAGUGGUUUGAUCUUAGCUCAUUGUACUUGACACUGGAAGGUUAACGUGCACAUUACCACGUGAUGAAGCACAGGAUAGCAUGAAGGCAAUGGACGAGGGCUACAUAAUUGUUUUGCCCUCCAUGCGCCAUUCCAAUCCAAAUCGGGACCAAUUGCUCUUCUCCUUCUCUCCUCCUCUCUUCCACUUGUCGGUGACUCCAAAACCAACGGAGUCGAAGUGCAAACUAAACCCUAAGGUACUAACUCGAAUGCUCUUAAUCUUCGAAGGAUUAAAUAAAUCCCUUUUCCAUUGUAAGAAUUUGAUCUCUCUAUCUCUCCCUCCAAUGUGAUGAAGGAUCAGAUACCUCUUCCAUUCCCUCCAUCGAAUCCUCGAUUUGAAGCCAAGACUGAUCUCGAUCUUGACCUCUCUUGUCGAUUUGAGAUCACCGGAUCCCUGAUCUAUUAAAGUCUGAGUACGUUUUGAUCUAAAGAAAGCGAGAUGAUUCUUUGAGGCGAACUAUAUAUCUUGCAAUGCUUGAUCGUGAUUCUGCUGUGUUUGAUUUUGUUACUGCUUUUAUUCAUGAUUCAUGAACUUUCUGUUUGGAAAAGAUUGAGGAAUUUGUCGAGUUUUUGCAUCCGGAGAAGAAGGAUUUAGGUGCUCCUAUUCCAACUAACAUAUCUGAUCUGAUUUUUUAAAAAAAAAAAAAAAUUGAAACAACUUUCUUUAAUGCUCGUAAUUUUACUUUCUGGUACUUCUUUACAGUUCUAGCUGAAUUUACCUGCAGGUAGCUAAUUGAUAAGUGAACGAGAAGAAAAGGGUUUAGGUGUAAUCGAAGUUCUAGAACUAGGUGACUCUUUUCAUCUGAUGUGCUAUUUGUGUUUGUGAAUUUCAGGAAAGCCAAUAAAAAAGUUUCCAGUUUCAAAUAGUUUAGAGAGAGCUCUCUAGUCCAAAAUCUAUAUGAAUUCUGUGAAUGAUUCUAUCUUAACAUCACUUGUAGCCACACAGGACAAGGGAAAUUUAUGUAUUGUUCCCUUAGUGACCAACAAUUGGAAAUUUGUUUAAUGAUUUACUUGUAUGGGCUCUCUAACCUCAUCAUGAGUUUGAGGCAAAACAUUUUGCUUCUACUAGUUGAUUGGCUUUGUUGUGUUUAAUUACUCUGAAGAUUAUUUGAUUUUUUGUGCUUCUUAUGCUGGUGCUAGUGUGAUGAUAGUGUUAUUACAGGGAAAUAAAAUAUAUUCUCCGUCCAGGUGCACAAAUUAUUGAGUUUAUGGUGCCUCGUGAGUCUCUUGGAAUGCUGCUUCUCAACGUUCUCAGAUUUUAGUGGAAUAUUCUUCUUCCAGGUGUGCAAAUAAAGUAAAUUAUUCUUCCAGCUGUGCAAAUUAUUGAGUUUAUAGUGCCUCGUGAGUCUAUUGAAAUGCUGCUUCUCGACAUUCUCAGAUUUUUGUAGAAUACAUAAACUUUAAUUCAAAAAAAAAGAGUAUGGAAUCAGAAUCCAUAACUUUCUUUACAUUUGAAGUUAUUGGAUCAAAAUUGCCAAAUAUUAUAACUUAUCUGAAUAUCAUCGAAUAUUUACAUUCUGCUGUUGGCUUUUGAACUCUUCAGGCAUCCAAUUGUGGGACUCAAACUUCAAUUGGUUGUCUAGCUGUUUAAUCUAGAUUUGUAUUUCGCUUUUGAUGUGAUGGAUUUGUUCAAAAUCCAAAUAUCUUGUUGGAUUUCAUGCAAAACUGUUGGAUUUUUUUUUGUCUUUUGAAUUGUUUUGAUUGAUUCUUUUUGCUUUUCUGUUUUUCUUUUCUUACUUUAGUUUAUAGCGGGGAACUUCUUAUUUGGUUCCAUAGAGAAUAUUUUAUUGUUGCAAUGAUAGGUCUUCUAUUUCACUGCAUAGUCUUGAUGGUUGCACCAUUGCAUUGAAAUUGUAUUUGGAAAAUGCUAAUUAAAUGAAGUGGUAGCAGCCUACCAUUUUCUCAAAAAUAAAGAAAGGAAAGAAAAUGUAUUUGGAAAAUGUGAAGUGCCAAAACCUUGCAGCGAGAGAGCAAAAACUGGUCCUUUUGCCAAUUUAAACUACAUUAUUAUGUGUGAAGCAUAGUGAACAAUGAGAUUGGAAAGGAGUCAGCCAUGUUUAAUACAUAACAGGGCAAGGUAGUUGAAGAUACAAUUAGAUUUUCUCUCUGUUUGCUUUCUCCAGAACAAAUUAUCUUGAUAGAUUUUCCAUGUAUUCUUCUUGCUAUCAUUGCUACUGCCUUGUUUUAUGUGUUUUCUGGCAAAGUGGGAUACAUUUCUUUCCUUAAAGUUUUUAUUAGAUGAUAAUGUAGUUCUUUUAUAGUUGAUCAAUUCACAAAAUCAGUAGAGCAAGCCAUAUGAAUCUUAAACGAGAUGAGCAUAAUAAUGUAAGAGAAAUAAAUGCUCUAGAAACUAGUAAGCAUUCAUCUGAAUUACAUCAUUUUGUCUUUUGUUUAGUUUAUUCUCGAAUUUAGGUGCUUGAAAAAAAUACUGUUUUGGUUGAAAGUUGUUAAAAUAGACUCUACACAGGAGAAGUUUAACUGUAAGUCGGAGUUUUCCCACAGUUUUGUUUAUCUCUUUGUUAAAUUAGGCCCCUAGAUUCUGCACAAUAUUCCAAAUCUUUUAAACUAAAAAUUUUUGUUGGAGAGAUCCAUGUGGCUGUUUCAAAUAUAUCAUGAUCUGGUCAUAGAGAUCGAAGACAAAAAUUUACUUAACAAGAUCAAAUUAAAUAAAUUUAGGAGUCAAGUUAAAUAAAUGAAUAACCGAAACGAUCUGAAUUAUAUAAUUGUCAUAAAUGGCAACUAAGCUUCAUGUAUUCUAGAAUGUCGGCACUCGUCUUCAAUUGGCUACAGCAAGUUAUUAUGUAGCAAUAUGCUUUACUUUUUUCUCUCUUGCUGUGGGUCUUUAUUCGUCCAUGUAAGCUGAUUUGUUAUCAUAUACCAGGAGAGAAGAACAUCUCUCUGAUUUAACAAUGAGGUAUGUUUUGAGUCAGAUAUUUUAUUAUCAUAUGUAGAGCCUUCAAUAAAUACUGCUUUUUUUCAGACAUAAUUGGAAGGACUGAGAUUUUGGCAGUAUAGCUAAACUUUCUGUUGACGAUGUUUUUAUGUGUAAUUUAAUUACAUAAGCACUCGUCAAGUUUCAAGAAAAAACGAGUUAGAAUGGAGAAGUUACGCGAUCAAUACUAAUCACUUAAAGUGAAUAGUAACUCUGAUUUUUCGAAGAGGCUGAUGAGUAGAGUUGGCUUUUGGCACGUAUCGGACUUCAUUCAUAGCGAUCCAAUAGCUCGUUUUGAACGGUUCGGCUAUUCUAGAACCAAUGGCGCUGACGGAUUUUAUAUUUGA
rnacentral:lncRNA from 1 species